rnacentral:siRNA from 1 species
UUACCUUAGGGAUCGGUGUA